GAAGUGUGGACGCCAGUCUGCAUGGAGCCGACCUUGAAAUACCACCCUUUAAUGUUUGAUGUUCUAACGUUGACCCGUAAUCCGGGUUGCGGACAGUGUCUGGUGGGUAGUUUGACUGGGGCGGUCUCCUCCUAAAGAGUAACGGAGGAGCACGAAGGUUGGCUAAUCCUGGUCGGACAUCAGGAGGUUAGUGCAAUGGCAUAAGCCAGCUUGACUGCGAGCGUGACGGCGCGAGCAGGUGCGAAAGCAGGUCAUAGUGAUCCGGUGGUUCUGAAUGGAAGGGCCAUCGCUCAACGGAUAAAAGGUACUCCGGGGAUAACAGGCUGAUACCGCCCAAGAGUUCAUAUCGACGGCGGUGUUUGGCACCUCGAUGUCGGCUCAUCACAUCCUGGGGCUGAAGUAGGUCCCAAGGGUAUGGCUGUUCGCCAUUUAAAGUGGUACGCGAGCUGGGUUUAGAACGUCGUGAGACAGUUCGGUCCCUAUCUGCCGUGGGCGCUGGAGAACUGAGGGGGGCUGCUCCUAGUACGAGAGGACCGGAGUGGACGCAUCACUGGUGUUCGGGUUGUCAUGCCAAUGGCACUGCCCGGUAGCUAAAUGCGGAAGAGAUAAGUGCUGAAAGCAUCUAAGCACGAAACUUGCCCCGAGAUGAGUUCUCCCUGACCCUUUAAGGGUCCUGAAGGAACGUUGAAGACGACGACGUUGAUAGGCCGGGUGUGUAAGCGCAGCGAUGCGUUGAGCUAACCGGUACUAAUGAACCGUGAGGCUUAACCUUACAACGCCGAAGCUGUU
rnacentral:rRNA from 1 species